rnacentral:rRNA from 1 species
AUUGAACGCUGGCGGCAUGCUUUACACAUGCAAGUCGAACGGUAACAGGGUGCUUGCACCGCUGACGAGUGGCGAACGGGUGAGUAAUGCGUCGGAACGUGCCGAGUAGUGGGGGAUGACGCAGCGAAAGUUGUGCUAAUACCGCAUACGUCCUGAGGUAGAAAGUGGGGGACCUUCGGGUCUCACGCUAUUCGUGCGGCCGACGUCGGAUUAGCUAGUAGGUGAGGUAAAGGCUCACCUAGGCGACGAUCAGUAGCGGGUCUGAGAGGAUGAUCCGCCACACUGGGACUGAGACACGGCCCAGACUCCUACGGGAGGCAGCAGUGGGGAAUUUUGGACAAUGGGCGAAAGCCUGAUCCAGCCAUGCCGCGUGUCUGAAGAAGGCCUUCGGGUUGUAAAGGACUUUUGUCAGGGAGGAAAUCCCUAGCGUUAAUACCGCUGGGGGAUGACAGUACCUGAAGAAUAAGCACCGGCUAACUACGUGCCAGCCGCCGCAGUAACAC